UUAGAAAGUCUACUUUUCUGAUGAAAACAGUAGAUGUGUCUUAUGUUAAAUGUGUCUUUCGACUUGCAACAUUUUUUGUGAUAUUUUUCAUGACAAGAGUAGCUAUUUCUUAUGAUAGUUGUAGACAGUCUCAAGAAUCAUUUUGAUUUCCAGAAAGUCUACUUUUGUGUGAUUUAGCUCAUCUGAAUGACAGAUUUUUCUAAUGAAAACUGUACAUAUAGAGGGACUUAACGGAGAGUGAACGAUAUUAGUUUGCUUUAACUUGCUAUAGCACGUCAAAACUGGUUGGGUAUGCAUACCCUAAGGCAUACCCUAAGGCACACAAGUGGAACCCCACUUUGUUCCCUCCAAUUUCACAACUUACUACACAUCAAUAUUUCAGUAGUAAUAAACCAAAAUCAAAAGUGAACCACAAUCACCCAUCACUGCUAUUGUAAACACUAAACACAAUAACAGCAGCUGCAGUUUUACUCCUUUCGACUAAAACAAUAACUUCUGAUACUGAACAUUUGUUCCAUCAUAUUAACAGAACAUCUAGAGCACCCUACACAUGUUCAUAUACUUAACAACACCAGAAGCCACCACAAUAAUCAUCACCGCCGCCUAACAUAGUAGCUGCACACACUGCCCAAAUCCCAAAAUUUGAAACUCCACCAAACUUAAAUUCUAGUGUUUGCAAUCAGACAUACCAAUUCAAUAUACUUGGAAACCCGGAAAGCACUCCCAAAACCACCGUCGCCGCUGAGAAGAGCGUCACUCACGGUGGUCCACUACACUGCCAAAACCCAACUUCUCCAACACCCAACCAAUCUCAAUUCCAGUUAUAUAAACAGGAACGCUCGAUGAGUAGAUGAAGAUUGAUACCUGAAUCAAAACUAGAAGCUCGCCGGAAAAUGAAGAACACGGCCGGAAAACCCUAAAAGCUUCUCCUCUUCGAUUCUCCCUCCUCAGAGCUCGUCUGGGAAAACCAAGAACAUGGAAAGGUUCUUGAGAUCGAGAUGAAGCUAUCCAUACCAGUAAGAGACCUCGACUUGGUCAGAAUCGAAAACUCGCCGGCGAACCCAGAAUUCCUUCUCUCCUUCUUUUCUCUCUCGCCGGAACUCCUCUUCGAACACAAAGAACAUAGUGAGGUCGAGGACGUCGAGACAGACCUGUGGACACCGGUUUUGCGCCGGUAGACGACUGAAAGACAAAAGGGAGCGCUGAGCUCCGUCGCAGCUCGAGACGGGGUCGGUCGGUCUUGGUUGUGUUUUUGGGCUUCGAUCUGAUAAGGUCCUAGCCUUAUAUACUCAUUCAAUAGUUCAGAUCAAAUAGUUUAGAGAUCAACGGCCAAGACCAAACCGACUUAAAAAUACUAUUUUUAAUAAAUUUCUGGAUAAUACCAACUUCCAAAAAACAUUAAAAAUAGCUCUGAUGUCCAAACGAUGCUCCGAAGAAUCCUACGAACUCGUAACGACCUCUACUUUAAUCUUAUGGGCUUGAAAGACAAAAUUUGACAAACUAAAAAUUUGAAUAAUUUUCAAAAGCCACAAAAAAAUUUAAAGAAUAAUAGGAAUUGAAAUAAAAAUAGCUCGAAAAUAAUUUCUCAUUUAAAGAUAAAAAAUCUAAUUUUCGAGAUAUUACAUGUUACAAUGCAGAAUGUAAACAAAAGUAGUAUCUUCUAGGGAGAACAUGGAACUAAAACCAUUGCAUAUAUAGUUGCAGCUACCAAGAUCAUUAGAGAUAGUUAUUUAUGUUUAAGGAUUCUCUUUAAUUCACGAAAAAAGGUUUGAAAUACGUUAAAAUGUCAGAGUCCUACAUAGACUCUUUGACAUUUCGAUGCGUCUUACAUGAAAUGGGUUGAAAAAUUUAAAAUACUUGUGUUUGUUUUUUCGAUAAAGAAAUUAAAAAUAUUGUCGAGCCAAAUUAUGACAUCAUGUCAAGACCCACCCCGAAUUUCACCCUGAAACCCGAAGUAAGUCUUACGGGGACCACCUCCAAGGAAAAUUUACCGAAAAAUUCGGCAUAACCUCCCUUGAAAAUGGACAACCUUUACCUGAAAAAUUCAAACCACACUCCUAUACCGACACAUCCAACCUCAACUCCUGGAGCCACCCGCUUCCCACAACACCACAACAAUAUAACAAAAACCAUCUUCUAAUCCAUCACAUAAAUACCAAAUGAAAUAACAAACUUCAACCUUCGAAUAUUCGAAAAUAAAAUCCAAGACUUAGCACACAACUGAGCUAAUAUACAUUAUCCUCAAGGGUAAUCAGAGCUACUAAUACUAGCGGAAACAAGAAAAUACACUAGUAGGUUAAGCCGGUAACCUACUGGUGAAAAGUGGUGAAAAAGUGGGUAACUACGCCUCGCCUCCUACUAGUGCCAACCCGAACUCUACAGACUGGACAUUUUAAAACGAAGGGCCCUGGGGAAAACAUUUAAUAACGUUAAAGUGAGUGGACAAAAAUAAAUUUGAAUAAAAGAAUAAAUAAAAUAUUUAUGCUUUCCCGAUUCAAUUUCCAAGGAAAAAUCGAAUGCAUGCCUCCAAUGAUAAAACUUUCAUCUCUUAAAUAUCGAGCUUCUCAAGCUCUAAAAUAUAUAUGUAUGUAUUUACACACGUCCAUACUCCCUAUAUAAUUUUAUAGAAUUAUAUAGGGCUACUACACUCGCGUCCAACGCUCAUGUCACGCCUUAAUGCGGUGAUACACUACGUCAUUAACGUGGACAGACGGGUGUAUAAAUAUGUGUCCAUACCCCCUAUAAGAAUUAAACACUCACAUAGGGAUACUACACUCACGUCCAACGUUCAUGUCACACCAUAAUGCGGUUAUAUGCUACGCCAUUAAGGUGGACAGACACAUAUGGCUAGCUAGCAUUUAUAUACAUACUCUCCUCAUAAAUACAUAUUUAUAUUCACCGAAAAUCUCAUUUUCGGUAACUCUCCAAGAGAAAUAAAAUCGUCAAAAUUAAAAUGAAGUCAAAUGCUCCAACAAAAGAAAUUGUUCAACCAAGAACCAUAGCAUGCACAUUAUUUAAAAUAAAAGUCUACUCACAAAUUAGGCCUAAGCCUGAUGUCGAUCUGGGGCCUCGUCUGCUCGAGCCUCCUCACGUCCUGUUCCAGUUAUAUAAUCAAUUUCCCAAUUAAAAAUUCAAUAAUUAUACAAAAUGGGCAAAAUUAAAUGUGAGCCUCCAACACACUCAUCAUUGCCCAACUUCGCCAUUCUUCCCUCAAUAUGGCCCAAACUUCACCGAACAUACCGGCAGCCUUAAUAUAACCCUCUAUAGAUUAUACGACUUUAAACCAACGGCCGGAUUCUACCUUAAAUAACCGCUAAAAUUACCAAACUCUAAAAAUUCCCAAACCUAUCAAAACUCCUCCAAAAAUUCCACAAAUCACUUCAUUAAACUCCUCUAAUUAUAACACGAAUAAAACCCUAAAAAUCCCCCAAACAACAGCGGCCGGAGGCCAACUCACGCGACCUCCUAUGUUACACCCCAAUUUUCGAAGGAUAAAUUUUUAAAAAUUUGGGCAUGAUAACUCACAAUAAUAUAAUUCCUAAGACCUGUUCAACAACUUAAAGAAGACAAAUCUCAAUUGCAGAAAUGUAAUCUCAACACAACUCAACAUCGAGUUAAUAUUACAUUUCAUUACUUACAUAAACUUGAAAGUCAAGAAAUGAAAACACUCGAAUGAAAUUAAUGUUGUCUACCAAAUAUAAAAUAUCAAAGUAUACAACAACUAAAAACCCUGCUGAUCAAUACCUGCAGGUCUAACCCAUACACCAUGAAUUGGUGCACCGGGUUGUAAACAACAAACUUGGUAAGCUAAAAAGCCCGUAUGAGUAACUCUCAAAAAUAACUCAACCCAACUUUACUUAAAAUAAAAACGAAAAUUCCUGCUUAGAACUUAGUUCAGGAAUCGCCUCAAACAAGAAAAUUCAAAAGGGAGUAAAUAAGAAAACACAACAAUUUCCAAACAAUCAAAAUCAUAAGUGAAUCCUGCAAAAAGGAUAGUUCAGGAAUUC
rnacentral:lncRNA from 1 species